AAGAGAACACAUACAGACAAGAGCAUCACGCUCGUUCACACAUAGAAACACAUACAGACGAGCAUCACAGAAGAGAACACAUAGAAACACAUACAGACAAGAGCAUCACAGAAAAAGAACACAGAAACACAUACAGACAAGAGCAUCACAGAAAAAGAACACAGAAACACAUACAGACAAGAGCAUCAUAGAAGAGAACACAUAGAAACGCAUACAGACAAGAGCAUCACAGAAAAAGAACACAGAAACACAUACAGACAAGAGCAUCACAGAAAAAGAACACAGAAACACAUACAGACAAGAGCAUCACAGAAAAAGAACACAGAAACACAUCCAGACAAGAGCAUCAUAGAAGAGAACACAACCUGGUCUGGGAUUAGAACAUAACAUGUCUUCAUGAGUUGACCACAGAUGCUCUGAGGAAGUAGAGAGUACCUGUAGACCAUCUUUUCUCAUCACACGGCCCAAGCAGGACUUGGGUACUAUGGUGUCCGUCAUGGGUUCUGCACGUCGUAAAGAAAUGAAUGCAGGCAGGUAACAGUGGAACUUCACUUCCAAAAGAAUAUCAGCUAACAAAUGUAAACUAGCUUUAAGAAGUGUAGGGAGGGGGCCUCGUAGGCCAGUGCUGUGGAUGGAGCCGUCCUCGGCCCCCUGCUCUUCACCUCCUCUGGGUGCUCUUCACCUCCUCUGGUGCUCUUCACCUCCUCCCCACUGGUGCUGUGUGCUCUUCACCUCCUCUCCUCUGGUGCUCUUCACCUCCUCUCCUCUGGUGCUCUUCACCUCCUCUCCUCUGGUGCUGGGUGCUCCUGCUCUUCACCUCCUCUCCUCUGGUGCUCUUCACCUCCUCCCCACUGGUGCUCUUCACCUCCACUGGUGCUGGGUGCUCCUCACCUCUCCUCCCCACAGGUGCUGGGUGAGGGAAAACAUUUGCUUUGUUAAUGUGCGCUCGGACUCCGCGUCCUUCAGGUGGCCUCCAGGGGUGAUAAAGUGGCAGUUACACGAUCCACCGGCGCACGCAAAAUAGGGAAGAGGUUUCUGUUCGCACCAGCUGUUGCCACGGUGGCGAGGUCAGGGAAUGAGCGGUAACCCUCGGCCAAAUAAAGACCAGCAGUGGGCUGGCUGGGAGUCGGUG
rnacentral:lncRNA from 1 species